AAGUCGUAACAAGGUUUCCGUAGGUGAACCUGCGGAAGGAUCAUUAAUGAUUUUUUAAGCAAACCAAGCUUUUUUUUUAUAAAAAGUGAGGUUUUGCGAAUGUAUUUAAAACCCCCACUCUUUUAAAAAAUAUAAUAUAUAUUUCAUUCAUAUAAAAUGAAUAAAAAAAAGAUCACUUUCAACAACGGAUCUCUUGGCUCUC
rnacentral:misc_RNA from 1 species